rnacentral:lncRNA from 1 species
ACCAUGAGAUGUUUUCUACUGUAGAAACUUUCUCAUUAGAAAUAGCCCAUUUAUACAGGGGACUGGCUAAUGUUUUUCUAUGAGUAUCAUUAGCCAGUGUCUCAAAGUGGUGAAGAGUAAGUAUAUAGCAUCUUUCAAAAGACUGCAACCUGGAACAAGGAGAGACAAAGGGAAGGAGGAGUCUGGAGCCAUAUUGAAGAUGAAAUUGAGAUAUGGACUAGGUGGUGGAUCGUUUUUAUAAGAGGACAUAAAAGAGGAUGCUAAAGCUAAUUGCCACAAUCAGAACUCAAAGACCUAGCAAAUGCAAGGAUACAAUAAGAAGUCAGCAGUCUGCAACCCAGAAGAGGACCCUCACUGGAACCCAGGAAUGUUGGCACUCUGAACUUAGAUUUUCCAGCCUCUAGAAUGGAAAACAACAGGAUUAUUUCCAUCUUAAGGAAGACCAACAUGGCAGCUGUGUAGAAAAGAAAGCCAAGUUAGAAAGAAUGUUUUGGAGACAAGACAUUGUGGAAGGAUAGGUGGAAAAAUCUCUAACGUGAAUGCUUAGCUGCACUAUUGAGCAAAUCCUAGUUAUUUUUUGGGACUCAGUUUUCCCAUUUCAAAAAAUGAGACAGGUUCCCUCAAAGAAUCUUUCCAAUUCUACUAUCCUGUGGUUCUGAGUUUUCAGAGCUAAAAAGGGCAUUUUCAAAGAUGGGAGAGUUUGCAUUAUUGUAGGUAAAAGCAGAGUGGGCCUGAAAUGGGAAUGGAAAAGUGUUGAAUCCGAAAAAUAUAGAGAAGACACAGAAGGCCAAGAUGAGAGCUUGGCUGUUUAGGCCAAAAGGGAAGCAAGAAUUAAUCAUAACUCAAUUCCUGGGUUAUGGGGCAAGGAUGAGUCUUGGUGCUUUUGACCUUAAAGAGGACUUUUUAAAGCAAAACUAGCUGGGAAAGAGGAAGAUUUAACACAUGGAAUUUGAAAACAUUGUAGGGCAAUAAAGAAGACGGAAAUGUGAAUGAAAGGCUGGGGUAAGAGGUGUAGGUAGUUGAGUCAUGGUUGCAGAGAUUUUGUUGGAAGUCUUGGGACAGAUGGUGUUUCUAAGAGAGGGAGAGGAAUAAAAACCACAGAGGAUUUUCAAAGUGUGAGAAUGGGAGAUGCUAUUAGAAGGGAGAGAGAAGGAGCAGUCAGCUGGGUGGUGAGAGAGAGGCUUCACAGAAGGAAAGGAAGGAAACAAGAAAAGAAAGGAGGUAUCCAAUUUGCAGCAGGGGAAGAGGAGGGAGGUUCAAGAGGAUAAGAACAAAAAAGCCAUUUCUGGAAAUGGCUAAAAGAGAAUACUUUCAGUGAAGUAAUAGGACUGUGAGUUAGUCUGUUUUGUGCUGCUGUAAAGGAAUACCUGAGACUGGGUAAUUUACAAAGAAAAGAGGUUUAUUCGGCUCAUAGUUCUGCAGGCUGCACAAGAAGCAUGGUACCAGACUCUUCUUCUGGUAAGGGCCUCAGGCUGCUUUCACUCAUGGCAAAAGGCAAAGUGGA